AUACAGAGGGUGUCGGGCGUUAUCCGGAAUUACUGGGCGUAAAGGGCACGCAGGCGGCUGGGCAAGUCCCGUGUGAAAGCUUUCGGCUCAACCGGGAGAGGACGCGGGAGACUGUCUGGCUUGAGGCGGGGAGAGGCGCGUGGAAUUCCCGGUGUAGCGGUGGAAUGCGUAGAUAUCGGGAGGAACACCAGUGGCGAAGGCGGCGCCCUGGCCCUGGCCUGACGCUGAGGUGCGAAAGCGUGGGGAGCGAACGGGAUUAGAAACCCUAGUAGUCC
rnacentral:rRNA from 1 species